GUUAAGCGACUAAGCGUACACGGUGGAUGCCCUGGCAGUCAGAGGCGAUGAAGGACGUGCUAAUCUGCGAUAAGCGUCGGUAAGGUGAUAUGAACCGUUAUAACCGGCGAUUUCCGAAUGGGGAAACCCAGUGUGUUUCGACACACUAUCAUUAACUGAAUCCAUAGGUUAAUGAGGCGAACCGGGGGAACUGAAACAUCUAAGUACCCCGAGGAAAAGAAAUCAACCGAGAUUCCCCCAGUAGCGGCGAGCGAACGGGGAGGAGCCCAGAGCCUGAAUCAGUGUGUGUGUUAGUGGAAGCGUCUGGAAAGGCGCGCGAUACAGGGUGACAGCCCCGUACACAAAAAUGCACAUAUUGUGAGCUCGAUGAGUAGGGCGGGACACGUGGUAUCCUGUCUGAAUAUGGGGGGACCAUCCUCCAAGGCUAAAUACUCCUGACUGACCGAUAGUGAACCAGUACCGUGAGGGAAAGGCGAAAAGAACCCCGGCGAGGGGAGUGAAAAAGAACCUGAAACCGUGUACGUACAAGCAGUGGGAGCCUCUUUUAUGGGGUGACUGCGUACCUUUUGUA
rnacentral:rRNA from 1 species